CUCUAUGGACUUUGUAAGUUUCGUGAUUUGUUGUUGAAGAGGUUUUAUUUUAUUUUAUUUAUUUAUUAUUAUUAUUAUUAUUAUUUAUUUCCUAUUCGGUGUUUGGUGUUCAUAUUGAAGCCCCGACUAAUUCAGAUACGCGUUGCAGGGUUCAUUAAGGUGGCAGCGCUCCCAAAAAAGUUUUCUCCAUGCCCAGGGUCGAACCCUCGACCUCUGGUUAAGGGUGAAGUAGCCCCAAAGAGGUUUUAUUUUACACCUCCAGAUUCAUGCCUUGUUUCAUAUUACUCCCUCCAUUUAAAAAAGAAUGACCUAAACAUGUCAUGUGAAAAGUUGAAAUUAAAG
rnacentral:lncRNA from 1 species